rnacentral:lncRNA from 1 species
UUUGUUGACAAUGAAUUGUCCCCUGAGUGCCUGCAUGGAGCCCAGCACUUCCUAAAACAUGAAGGCGUGCGCAUCCCCGGGGAAUACACUUCCUUCCUGGCUCCCAUCUCCUCCUCCAAGCUGUACAAUGAGGUCUGAGCCUGUAGGGAGAAGAUCUGUGACCCUGAGGCCUAGUUUGAGAUGCCUUAUGUGGUACGACUGCACAACCUCCACCAGCUGUCUGCAUCCCAGCCCUGUUUCACCUUCAGCCAUCCCAACACAGAUCCUACGAUUGACAACAACUGCUACUGGACCUUGGAGUUUCCCGUGGAGGUGAAUACAGUACUGCAUGGCUUUGCAGGAUACGUUAAGAUGCUUUAUCAGUACAUCACUCUGAGUAUCUGUCCAGACAGAGACUCACUCUCCUGGGAUGUUCUCAUGGUUUCCCAUCCUCUUCCCUAUUAAGCAGCCCAUAAUGGUGCGUGAAGGCCAGACCAUCUGUGUGCAUUUCUGGUGAGGCAGCAAUUCUAAGAAGGUGUGGUAUCAGUGGGCUAUGACAGCACCAGUCUGUUCUGCUGUUCACAAUCCCACAGCCUGCUUAUAUACCAUUGGCCUCUAG